UCUAUACUCCCUCCGUCCGAAAAUACUUGUCAUCAAAAUGGAUAAAAAGAUAUGUAUCUAGAACUAAAAUACAUCUAGAUACAUCCCCUUUUAUCCAUUAUGAUGACAAGUAUUUCCGGACGGAGGGAGUAUUUA
rnacentral:pre_miRNA from 1 species